GAUGAAAUUAGUCCUGCCAGAGCAGCUUGGACAGCUUAGAGCACUGGCUCUGUCACCUGUCAGGUUACUUGCAUGCAGGCCAGAGAGCAGGUGAGGUGGGCCUUGGCUCUGCCACUCCCUCCUCAAUAAGCCAGGCAUGCAUCUUGAUGUUCAGGAUCCUUCUUUAUUAGUCAUUAAUAACUAUUAUUAAUAAUUUGCUUGAUUAAAUUUCACCCAAUCCCUCUUUUUUUUCUUUGAUUUGCAGUCAAGGCACGAAUUGUAACCUUGGAUCAGAACUUUAUUGCCAGCAAUGAAUCGCACCACCUGGUGGAAUUGCAGGACCCCAAAGGGAAUCGCAUUGGUCAGUGGUUGAACGUGACUCCAUAUUGAGGCAUUGUGGAUCUAUCCUUCCCAUUGGCUGCAGAAGCACCUUUAGGAGAAUACACCAUCAAUAUGCCUGGCCUCAAGAACACCUUCAGUGUAGAGGAAUAUGAUGAACAGGGAUGGCUGCCUCACUGCGGUGGUGGACACUAAAGUCUAUAACCUGAGUCUUCAGAACAGUUACCAGUUCAGUCUAGAUGCUGUGGCUUCCCUGGAAGAAAGUGGAACAGGGUUGGAGUUCAAUGCCACUCAGAGCUGCAAGGUAACUUCAUCCGUCACUACGCUCCAGUUUUUGGAUAAUAACAUCUACUACCAGCCAGGAGUGCCAUACCAUGGGAGGGUAA